ACGGGUGAGUAACACGUGGGAACAUACCCUUCGGUUCGGGAUAACUCAGGGAAGCUUGAGCUAAUACCGGAUACGUCCGCGAGGAGAAAGAUUCAUCGCCGGAGGAUUGGCCCGCGUCUGAUUAGCUUGUUGGUGAGGUAAUGGCUCACCAAGGCGACGAUCAGUAGCUGGUCUGAGAGGAUGAUCAGCCACAUUGGGACUGAGACACGGCCCAA
rnacentral:rRNA from 1 species